rnacentral:rRNA from 1 species
GAUGAACGCUAGCGGCAGGCCUAAUACAUGCAAGGCGAAGGGGCAGCAAUGUCACUGUCGUACGGGUGCGUAACACGUAUGCAACCUACCUAUCACAGGGGGAUAGCCUCUGGAAACAGGGAUUAAUACCGCAUAAAGCAGGGACACCGCAUGGUGAUAUUGCUAAAGACUUAUCGGUGAUAGAUGGGCAUGCGUCUGAUUAGUUAGUUGGUGAGGUAACGGCUCACCAAGACGAUGAUCAGUAGGGGGCGUCAGAGCGUGGUCCCCCACACUGGCACUGAGAUACGGGCCAGACUCCUACGGGAGGCAGCAGUAGGGAAUAUUGGGCAAUGGAUGCAAGUCUGACCCAGCCAUGCCGCGUGCAGGAAGAAGGUCCUCUGGAUUGUAAACUGCUUUUUUGGGGGAAGAAUAGUUUUCUUGCGAGGAAAUGUGACGGUACCCUAAGAAUAAGCCACGGCUAACUACGUGCCAGCAGCCGCGGUAAUACGUAGGUGGCAAGCGUUGUCCGGAUUUAUUGGGUUUAAAGGGUGCGUAGGUGGUUUGAUAAGUCAGUGGUGAAAGCCGGUUGCUCAACAAUCGAGUUGCCAUUGAUACUGUCGGACUUGAGAGAAGUGGAGGUUCAUGGAAUGGAUGGUGUAGCGGUGAAAUGCAUAGAUAUCAUCCAGAACGUCGAUUGCGAAGGCAGUGGGCUGUACUUUAUCUGACACUGAGGCACGAAAGUGUGGGGAUCAAA